rnacentral:rRNA from 1 species
AGGACGAACGCUGGCGGCGUGCUUAACACAUGCAAGUCGAACGGAAAGGCCCGCUUGCGGGUACUCGAGUGGCGAACGGGUGAGUAACACGUGGGCAACCUGCCCUCAGCUUCGGGAUAACACUUGGAAACAGGUGCUAAUACCGGAUAAUAACCUUUCAUCGCAUGGUGGUUGGUUCAAAGUUUUUCGGCUGAGGAUGGGCCCGCGGCCUAUCAGCUUGUUGGUGGGGUAAUGGCCUACAAAGGCGACGACGGGUA